rnacentral:sRNA from 1 species
UGUACGUAAAAAAGAAACUCAAGUCAUUUAUCUUGACAGGAAUUCUUGCCGUUUGGGCUGCUCACUUGAUAGUUAGAAAACGAGGAAGCCAAAAAAACUCCUGCGCCGCUACUUUCAUCAAUCUUUCAAUAAUGCUUGAGGGGCUCCAAAGUGCUCCAAGAGGCGAAGGAGGAGCAGGUGGAGCAGUUGCACGUAGCCAAUAAAAUACUCGUGAAAUGUG